ACUGCCGUGUGUGUAUGUGUGCGUAUAGCUGCUCAGUGCCUCUCCGAAAGAGAGAGAGAGGGAUUGAGAAAAUAGGGAAUUUAGUAAAAUAAUUUUGUGAUUAGUGUUUGGAAUAUAAAUUAAUAUAGAAUUUUAAUGACCAGGGGGUAGUCACGUGGGUUGGUAUUGGAAAUUUAUAUAGAAUUUUGAUGGAACGGAAGGUUACAAUUUAGGACACAUGAAAACAGGAAGUUUGUAUCAUUGGACCAGGGGGUGGUCACAUGUGGGUUGGUAUUGAAAGGGUUAGAGAACUAGUAAGGAAUUUGCUGACAGAGCAUCUCAACAGAAAUAUGGUAACAAAAGGGUUAAGAAAAAUAAUCAGCAGAAGACAUGAGAGAAGGAGACCUCAAUGUGGUCACUCUAUAUGCUAGAAAUAAUAGCCUAAAUUUCUUUCAAUCUACACCCUUCCAACUGCUUCUAAUGUGCAUCUGCCCACAUGUAGAGGUGUUUUAAACCCUUUCGUUACCAAUCCAGCUGAAACUACUUCUGGCUCUAUAGUACCAAUGUCUUGAUUUCAUAAUUCUGAAUUCAAAUCUUCCACCAAACCUUAGUCACAAUUUAUGUUCCUAACACUAGCUUAAUGAUAACUAAUUAAUUUUAUGAAAUUCUUUGUUAUAUUUAAAAUUAAUUGAAAGAAGCACAGAGCAUCUCAACAGAAAUAUGGUAACAAAAGGAUUAAGCUAGUGUUUGAAAUGACUUGAAAUUUUUUACGGAAGGGUUUAAAUAAAAUUCCCUUAUCACACAAAGUUUGUAUCAUAGAUCCAAGGAAGGGCUUAGGCUCCUUAGGAUUUGAUGAACGGGAGGAUUUUGUGGCUUGUAGAAUUAAAGGGAGCGGGGAUGGUCUCAGAUGAGUUGUCAUCAAAAUGGCUAAAUCACCAAUUUACACUAUCACCAGUGCAAUUGUGGACACCACCACCAACAACAGCAACAGACAUCUAGCAAUGGAAAAUAAUUAAAUUUUUUUUUUUUUAAUGAACUUGUACUGGGACUGUUAAUGAGACAUUUCUAUUGUCUGAUUGGACAGGCGUAUGUAUUUGUGUGUGUGUAUGUGUGCAUCUAUUUGCAUGUCUGUUAAUGUGUAUAAAUGUGUACGUAUGUGUGUGUGUUUUUUCUAAAUGAAAAAAAAAAUUUUUUUUUGCAAGGAACAGAACUGUUACAAUGACCUUUAAGGAAGGCAUCAAUGUCAAAACAUCACAUUCUGUCUCCCACAUAAAUAUUUUCAUAUAAAUAUGGCCACGAGCCUACGUAAGAAAUUA